rnacentral:misc_RNA from 1 species
UGAGGUGGCGAGAGGAGCCCCGGGCACUGCCACCAGCGGAGCUGGGGCUCAGGAUGGCAAAUGGAGCAGCAGGACGGCUCCUGGCACAGCCACGGCUUUCAGGACCCUCUUCUCACAGCAGCCAGAGAAAUUGGGGGACAACCCCUCCCACCUCAGACACACUGCCCCACACCUCCUGCACCCCCUUUUUUAAAUCAGCACAAAUUUCUUCACCCAUUCACCCCCCCACUUCGCUCUGGUCUGCCCGAGGCCGUUUGCAGAGACGUUUGGCGAUGCGGAAGGCACUGCUUUGGAUCGGAUGCAGCUGGAGAGCAGACCUUGGGAUGCCCCAUGGAGGCUGAUGGUCUCCCUUCCUCCGGCACCUGCCCGUCCUCGGGCGCAGGGCUCAGUGUUUUAGGGAACUACUUGUCUUUCAGCGCUGCUUUUGUCCACCGGAGUGUUUCUAGCCACCAUCCCCCCCGCUUCUGCCAUCCCCUUAUCAGGGAGCACGGAGCCACCGCGAGCCGUUUGCAGGCCCAGCUGCUCCCUGCUUGUGUGUUGGAGGUCGGAGUGAUCCAUGCACAUCCCGGUGCCCGCAGCAGCUCCCAUUGAGCACCCCUGUACAUAGUCCUCCAGCACCUCCCGCUACCUGACCAAGCUGCAUGUGCUGUCGUGUUCCUCCUGUGGUACCGCCGCCAUCUGUCCUUGUUUGUCCCCAGUUGGAGCCCCGCAUCACACCAUCCCCACCUGUGUCCUGGACCUCUUAUCCAUCACUCACACCCGGUGCCAAAAACACCUCCGGAGAACCAGG